UACGUAGGGUGCGAGCGUUAAUCGGAAUUACUGGGCGUAAAGCGUGCGCAGGCGGUUCGUGAUGUCUGAUGUGAAAGCCCCCGGGCUCAACCUGGGAACUGCAUUGGAAACUAGCGGGCUGGAGUGUGGCAGAGGGGGGGUGGAAUUCCACGUGUAGCAGUGAAAUGCGUAGAGAUGUGGAAGAACACCGAUGGCGAAGGCAGCCCCCUGGGCUAACACUGACGCUCAUGCACGAAAGCGUGGGGAGCAAACAGG
rnacentral:rRNA from 1 species